UGGGGAAUAUUGCACAAUGGGCGCAAGCCUGAUGCAGCCAUGCCGCGUGUGUGAAGAAGGCCUUCGGGUUGUAAAGCACUUUCAGCGGGGAGGAAGGCGUUAAGGUUAAUAACCUUGGCGAUUGACGUUACCCGCAGAAGAAGCACCGGCUAACUCCGUGCCAGCAGCCGCGGUAAUACGGAGGGUGCAAGCGUUAAUCGGAAUUACUGGGCGUAAAGCGCACGCAGGCGGUCUGUCAAGUCGGAUGUGAAAUCCCCGGGCUUAACCCGGGAAUUGCAUCUGAUACUGGUCAGCUAGAGUCUUGUAGAGGGGGGUAGAAUUCCAUGUGUAGCGAUGAAAUGCGUAGAGAUGUGGAGGAAUACCGGUGGCGAAGGCGGCCCCCUGGACAAAGACUGACGCUCAGGUGCGAAAGCGUGGGGAGCAAACAGG
rnacentral:rRNA from 1 species